GACGAACGCUGGCGGCGUGCUUAACACAUGCAAGUCGAACGGUGAACCUCUUCGGAGGGUAUCAGUGGCUAACGGGUGAGUAACACGUGGACAACCUGCUCCCGGCUCUUGGAUAACUCCAAGACAUUGGGGCUAAUACCGGCUGUUCACCGCUUCCCGCAUGGGUGGUGGUGGAAAGGGUUUCCGGCUGGGGAUGGGCCCGCGGCCUAUCAGCUUGUUGGUUGGGUAGUGGCCUACCAAGGCGAAGACGGGUAGCCGGCCUGGGAGGGUGACCAGCCACAAGGGGACUGAGAGACGGCCCAGACGCGUACGGGAGGCAGCGGGGGGGAAUAUUACGCAACGGGGGGAAGCGUGAGGAAGAGACGCCGCGUGGGGGAUGAGGGUCUGUGGGGGAUAAACCUCUUUCAGCAGAGACGAAGCGGAAGUGACGGUACCUGAAGAAGAAGCACCGGCUAACUACGUG
rnacentral:rRNA from 1 species